rnacentral:rRNA from 2 species
UUUGGUGGCGAUAGCGAAGAGGUCACACCCGUUCCCAUACCGAACACGGAAGUUAAGCUCUUCAGCGCCGAUGGUAGUCGGGGGUUUCCCCCAGUGAGAGUAGGACGCCGCCAAGC